UUCCCCUAGUAACUGCGAGUGAAGCGGGAAAAGCUCAAAUUUAAAAUCUGGCAGUCUUUGGCUGUCCGAGUUGUAAUCUAGAGAAGUAUUAUCCGCGCUGGACCGUGUACAAGUCUCCUGGAAUGGGGCGUCAUAGAGGGUGAGAAUCCCGUCUUUGACACGGACUGCCAGGGCUUUGUGAUAUGCUCUCAAAGAGUCGAGUUGUUUGGGAAUGCAGCUCAAAAUGGGUGGUAAAUUCCAUCUAAAGCUAAAUAUUGGCGAGAGACCGAUAGCGAACAAGUACCGUGAGGGAAAGAUGAAAAGAACUUUGGAAAGAGAGUUAAACAGUACGUGAAAUUGCUGAAAGGGAAACGCUUGAAGUCAAUCGCGUUGGCCAGGGAUCAACCUUGCUUUUUUGCUUGGCUUACUUUCUGGUCGAUGGGUCAGCAUCAAUUUUGACCAGUGGAAAAAGUUCAAGGGAAUGUGGCAUCUUCGGAUGUGUUAUAGCCUUUGUUCACAUACAUUGGUUGGGAUUGAGGAACUCAGCACGCCGCAAGGCCGGGUUUUUAACCACGUACGUGCUUAGGAUGCUGGCAUAAUGGCUUUAAUCGACCCGUCUUGAAACACGGACCAAGGAGUCUAACAUGCCUGCGAGUAUUUGGGUGAAAAACCCGAAUGCGUAAUGAAAGUGAAAGUUGAGAUCCCUGUCGUGGGGAGCAUUGACGCCCGGAUCUGACCUUUUGUGACGAUUCUGCGGUAGAGCAUGUAUGUUGGGACCCGAAAGAUGGUGAACUAUGCCUGAAUAGGGUGAAGCCAGAGGAAACUCUGGUGGAGGCUCGUAGCGAUUCUGACGUGCAAAUCGAUCGUCAAAUUUGGGUAUAGGGGCGAAAGACU
rnacentral:rRNA from 1 species